rnacentral:rRNA from 1 species
UCCGGUGACCAUAGCGAGGGGGUCCCACCCGUUCCCAUCCCGAACACGGAAGUUAAGCCCCUCAGCGCCGAUGGUACUGCUACGGUGGGAGAGUAGGUCGUUGCCAGAU